AGCGAACGCUGGCGGCGUGCUUAACACAUGCAAGUCGAACGUGAAAGGGAGCAAUCCUGAGUAAAGUGGCGUACGGGUGAGUAAUACGUAGAUAAUCUACCCCAGAGUUCGGAAUAACCUGCCGAAAGGCGGGCUAAUACCGGAUAGAGCGACGGAAUCCGUAAUUGGGUUUUUCAGGAAAGGGAGGAAGCAAUUCCCUUCGCUCUGGGAUGAGUCUGCGUCCCAUUAGCUAGUUGGCAGGGUAAUGGCCUACCAAGGCGAUGAUGGGUAGCUGGUCUGAGAGGAUGAUCAGCCACACUGGAACUGAAACACGGUCCAGACUCCUACGGGAGGCAGCAGUGGGGAAUCUUGCGCAAUGGACGAAAGUCUGACGCAGCAACGCCGCGUGAGUGAAGAAGGCCUUCGGGUUGUAAAGCUCUGUCGCCCGGGACGAAAAUCCGGUGAGUGAAUAGCUCAUUGGACUGACGGUACCGGGAGAGGAAGCACCGGCUAACUCCGUG
rnacentral:rRNA from 1 species